AAGGAUAACGUUGCAUCAGCAACGGCCCGUAGGGCGAGGCGAAGCCGAGUCAUCCUGCACGACCCACCA
rnacentral:sRNA from 1 species